rnacentral:tRNA from 4 species
UGCGCCAUCGCCAAGCGGUAAGGCAGGGGACUUUGACUCCCCCACCGCGUGUUCGACUCACGCUGGCGCAA